AUGUCACCACAAACAGAAACUAAAGCAGGUGUUGGAUUUCAAGCUGGUGUUAAAGAUUAUAAAUUGACUUACUACACCCCAGAGUAUGAAACUAAGGAUACUGAUAUCUUGGCAGCAUUCCGAGUAAGUCCUCAGCCUGGGGUUCCGCCCGAAGAAGCAGGGGCUGCAGUAGCUGCCGAAUCUUCUACUGGUACAUGGACUACUGUUUGGACUGAUGGACUUACCAGUCUUGAUCGUUACAAAGGACGAUGCUAUCACAUCGAGCCUGUUGCUGGGGAAGACAACCAAUGGAUCUGUUAUGUAGCUUAUCCAUUAGACCUAUUUGAAGAGGGUUCCGUUACUAACAUGUUUACUUCCAUUGUAGGUAAAGUAUUUGGUUUCAAAGCCCUACGUGCUCUACGUUUGGAGGAUCUACGAAUUCCCCCUACUUAUUCAAAAACUUUCCAAGGAUUUUCAGAAGCUUUACAGGUCAAAUAUGAAAAACCCAAAGGUCUU
rnacentral:rRNA from 1 species